AUUGAACGCUGGCGGCAUGCUUUACACAUGCAAGUCGAACGGCAGCGCGGGCUUCGGCCUGGCGGCGAGUGGCGAACGGGUGAGUAAUGCAUCGGAACGUGCCCAGUAGUGGGGGAUAGCCCGGCGAAAGCCGGAUUAAUACCGCAUACGACCUGAGGGUGAAAGCGGGGGGCCGAAAGGCCUCGCGCUAUUGGAGCGGCCGAUGUCGGAUUAGCUAGUUGGUGGGGUAAAGGCUUACCAAGGCGACGAUCCGUAGCUGGUCUGAGAAGACGACCAGCCACACUGGGACUGAGACACGGCCCAGACUCCUACGGGAGGCAGCAGUGGGGAAUUUUGGACAAUGGGGGCAACCCUGAUCCAGCCAUGCCGCGUGCGGGAAGAAGGCCUUCGGGUUGUAAACCGCUUUUGUUCGGGAAGAAAUCCUCUGGGCUAAUACCCCGGGGGGAUGACGGUACCGGAAGAAUAAGCACCGGCUAACUACGUG
rnacentral:rRNA from 1 species